rnacentral:rRNA from 1 species
UUUUCCGUAGGUGAACCUGCGGAAGGAUCAUUACCGAGUUGAUUCGAGCUCCGGCUCGACUCUCCCACCCCAUGUGUACCUACCUCUGUUGCUUUGGCGGGCCGCGGUCCUCCGCACCGACCCCCGUUCGGGGGCCGGCCAGCGCCCGCCAGAGGACCACAAAACUCCAGUCAGUAAACGUCGCAGUCUGAGAAACAAGUUAAUAAACUAAAACUUUCAACAACGGAUCUCUUGGUUCUGGCAUCGAUGAAGAACGCAGCGAAAUGCGAUAAGUAAUGUGAAUUGCAGAAUUCAGUGAAUCAUCGAAUCUUUGAACGCACAUUGCGCCCCUUGGUAUUCCGAGGGGCAUGCCUGUUCGAGCGUCAUUUCAACCCUCAAGCUCUGCUUGGUAUUGGGCUCCGUCCUCCGCGGACGCGCCUCGAAGACCUCGGCGGUGGCGUCUUGCCUCAAGCGUAGUAGAAAACACCUCGCUUUGGAGCGCACGGCGUCGCCCGCCGGACGAACCUUUGAAUUUUUCUCAAGGUUGACCUCGGAUCAGGUAGGGAUACCCGCUGAACUUAAGCAUAUCAAUA